GGCUGGUCUGAUGGUAGUGGCUUAUCAGAACUUAUUGACGUUAGUGGCACUAAAGUUGGUAUACAAACCCCACUGCUGAAUUUGACUGGCUCUUA
rnacentral:Y_RNA from 1 species